CUUGCAGGAUAGUGUGUAUUGGCUUAACGCUUUGUUUUAUGCGUCUUAUGCUGAAAGUGUUUCCUGCUAUAUCAAUAUGGAAAGUGGGCAGUUGGGUUAAGCUUUGUGCUUUCUUCAACAAUCAUUCUCCAUUCAUCU
rfam:Brachypodium distachyon strain Bd21 chromosome 1, whole genome shotgun sequence.